CAUAAUCUACGCCGUCUAUAUGUUCUGUAAUACGGCUCUCAUUUAUUUGGAACCGACGUUGUUUAGAAGUUCAACGUCGUCUAUAUUAUUAAGUGCGUCGUGAGUAAUGAAUACAUAUAAAUACAACGUCGACUAUAUAAAUGUAUACGUCGUAAAUAAUGACACUGACAACUAUUUCCACGUCAUAUUUUUUAGAAAAAUUGAAGUGGAAAAUUUAUUUCACGACGGUUUUUUGUAAAUAAGAGACGUAGUAGAUUUCAAUAACGUCGUCUUCUCAUGUAUUUAAAGACGUCAUAUUUUUUCUUGUCGUGUAAAUUAUAUUUAACGGCGUAGUAUUUUAGUUGUCGU
rnacentral:lncRNA from 1 species